rnacentral:rRNA from 1 species
AUUGAACGCUGGCGGCAGGCUUAACACAUGCAAGUCGAGCGGAGAGAGGUAGCUUGCUACUGAUCUUAGCGGCGGACGGGUGAGUAAUGCUUAGGAAUCUGCCUAUUAGUGGGGGACAACAUUUCGAAAGGAAUGCUAAUACCGCAUACGUCCUACGAGAGAAAGCAGGGGAUCUUCGGCCCUUGCGCUAAUAGAUGAGCCUACGUCGGAUUAGCUAGUUUGUGGGGUAAAGGCCUACCAAGGCGACGAUCUGUAGCGGGUCUGAGAGGAUGAUCCGCCACACUGGGACUGAGACACGGCCCAGACUCCUACGGGAGGCAGCAGUGGGGAAUAUUGGACAAUGGGCGCAAGCCUGAUCCAGCCAUGCCGCGUGUGUGAAGAAGGCCUUAUGGUUGUAAAGCACUUUAAGCGAGUAGGAGGCUACUUUAGUUAAUACCUAGAGAUAGUGGACGUUACUCGCAGAAUAAGCACCGGCUAACUCUGUGCCAGCCGCCGCCGUAA